UACGUAGGGAGCAAGCGUUGUCCGGAAUCAUUGGGCGUAAAGCGCGCGUAGGCGGCCCUGUAAGUCCGUUGUGAAAGUCAAAGGCUCAACCUUUGAAAGCCGAUGGAUACUGCAGGGCUAGAGUCCGGAAGAGGCGAGUGGAAUUCCUGGUGUAGCGGUGGAAUGCGCAGAUAUCAGGAGGAACACCAAUAGCGAAGGCAGCUCGCUGGGACGGUACUGACGUUAAGGCACGAAAGCGUGGGGAGCGAACAGG
rnacentral:rRNA from 1 species